AUAUACAAGAAAAACGUGACUCUUUGGCCUCCCAAAAACAUUGUCUUCCUUUAGUGUCUUUCCUUGCUUGUUUGUGUGAAUGUUCAUUGAUUCUUGUGGACUGUUUUAGCGGGGUUGAGGAUUGAGUUUAGCAUCACUUUUGAGUGUGUUAAGUUGUCCGCACACGUCUUAAAAUAGGCAUGUGACAAGAAGCAAUUAUCAAGCCCAGCCCUUCUUUUUCCAGUCACUAGUUUGUCUAUUGUAUUUGAGGACUUAUAACAUCAUUAUGAAAUUUCUUCAAGAAUAUCCUCAUGGGAUCAUAUAUAAUCUCCAUAAUCUUAAGCUAUGCUAAAAGUGGCAUGGACACAUCCAGAAUCUCAUUCUUCAUAAAGUUAUAAGAAUCUAGAUCUUAUGAACCAUGACAUGUAUUAUGAUACUACUUUCCAUGAGUCUCCAAUAACAUUAAUGAAUGAUGUAACUUAUCAAGUAUGAGCCUAAAAUGGCUAAUUCAUAAUUCAUAAUUCAUGAUCCUUAAAUGGCUAACUCGAGACAUUUGCAUAAAGCAGCUAACUUAUGAAUGCUAGUCAAGAAAGGCUAAAAACAGAACUUUAUGAGCCUAAUAAGGCUAACCUCUGAACAUGAAUUCAUAAAGAUACCAUCAUGAGCAUAAGGGAGUUAGUUAGCUGACCGUGAAGGCAUAGGUUCAAACGACAAAUGCCUGAAACUAUGUUUACCGACAUAGGAUAGAGAUCAUUCCACAAGUCAAAUGACUCUGUUUUUUUCAUUUUCCAGAAAAGGGACUAACCAUGGAUACUUGCUAGCAAAUUAUGUUAUGUCAUGUCCUAUGCCUGGCAAGGUAAAAGAUGACUUAGCUGAUCGGAUCUAGAUCAGACUCCAUGCACUCACACGGUGGUUUAUGAUGAUUCACUACUUUCUCCCCCAAAUAACUAAAGGAAUUAAUUUAUUUUACAUUACCAAUUAUUUUUUAGUUUAUGCUCUUGUCCCUUUUCAUCUUAUCAUGUUUUUAAUUGUACUUAUCAUCUUUGUAUUUUCAUGCUUUAUUACUUUCUUAUGUGGUUUUGCAUACCAAUACAUUCCACGUAUUGACCGUCUUGGAUGUUGCAUUAUUUUAUAAUGCAGCAUCUGAGACAUACGUUUGUAAUUUCAUGGAUUACUUGAUCCAAUCAAAUCAGCUGUUGGUGAGCUCUCCAUCUUUUCUGAAGGCAUUUCUUAUACUGUUACUGACUAGUUCUAUAUUUUGGAGUA